UGGGGAAUAUUGCACAAUGGGCGCAAGCCUGAUGCAGCCAUGCCGCGUGUGUGAAGAAGGCCUUCGGGUUGUAAAGCACUUUCAGCGGGGAGGAAGGCGUUAAGGUUAAUAACCUUGGCGAUUGACGUUACCCGCAGAAGAAGCACCGGCUAACUCCGUGCCAGCAGCCGCGGUCAUACGGAGGGUGCAAGCGUUAAUCGGAAUUACUGGGCGUAAAGCGCACGCAGGCGGUCUGUCAAGUCGGAUGUGAAAUCCCCGGGCUCAACCUGGGAACUGCAUGCGAAACUGGCAGGCUUGAGUCUUGUAGAGGGGAGUAGAAUUCCAGGUGGAGCGGUGAAAUGCGUAGGGAUCUGGAGGAAUACCGGUGGCGAAGGCGGCCCCCUGGACAAAGACUGACGCUCAGGUGCGAAAGCGUGGGGAGCAAACAGG
rnacentral:rRNA from 1 species